GAAAGCUUUCGGCUCAACCGAAGAAGUGCAUCGGAAACUGGGACACUGGAGUGCAGAAGAGGACAGUGGAACUCCAUGUGUAGCGGUGAAAUGCGUAGAUAUAUGGAAGAACACCAGUGGCGAAGGCGGCUGUCUGGUCUGUAACUGACGCUGAGGCUCGAAAGCAUGGGUAGCAAACAGGAUUAGAUACCCUGGUAGUCCAUGCCGUAAACGAUGAGUGCUAGGUGUUGGAGGGUUUCCGCCCUUCAGUGCCGCAGCUAACGCAUUAAGCACUCCGCCUGGGGAGUACGACCGCAAGGUUGAAACUCAAAGGAAUUGACGGGGGCCCGCACAAGCGGUGGAGCAUGUGGUUUAAUUCGAAGCAACGCGAAGAACCUUACCAGGUCUUGACAUCCUUUGACCACUCUAGAGAUAGAGCUUUCCCUUCGGGGACAAAGUGACAGGUGGUGCAUGGUUGUCGUCAGCUCGUGUCGUGAGAUGUUGGGUUAAGUCCCGCAACGAGCGCAACCCUUAUUACUAGUUGCCAGCAUUUAGUUGGGCACUCUAGUGAGACUGCCGGUGACAAACCGGAGGAAGGUGGGGACGACGUCAAAUCAUCAUGCCCCUUAUGACCUGGGCUACACACGUGCUACAAUGGAUGGUACAACGAGUUGCGAGACCGCGAGGUUUAGCUAAUCUCUUAAAACCAUUCUCAGUUCGGAUUGUAGGCUGCAACUCGCCUACAUGAAGCCGGAAUCGCUAGUAAUCGCGGAUCAGCAUGCCGCGGUGAAUACGUUCCCGGGCCUUGUACACACCGCCCGUCACACCAUGAGAGUUUGUAACACCCAAAGCCGGUGAGGUAACCCUUCGGGAGCCAGCCGUCUAAGGGA
rnacentral:rRNA from 1 species